UUUGAAAUGAAAAGGCCAAGGGGACAAAAGCCAGGUUCGGCCGCCGAAGGUGAAGUUCGGCCGCCGAAAGUUGCAUGGUUUCGCAUGCACGUUAGGCCGCCGAAGGAAGAGUCGGAUGGCCACUACAAAAGCCCCUUUGCCCGAGAUUUGAGUGUCAAACACUCUGUUUUUGGGUCAAAGGUGGGUUCAAGCUCUCCUUGGUGUGUUUCUCAUGUUUUCCUCAAAUCUUGCAUGUUUUAACAUGUUUUUAGCUUUGUUUUAGAGAUUUGAGCAAAAGGAAGCAAAGUUGAGCA
rnacentral:lncRNA from 1 species